CAGCCGCCACGGGAAUACGGAGGGUGCAAGCGUUAAUCGGAAUUACUGGGCGUAAAGCGCACGCAGGCGGUUUGUUAAGUCAGAUGUGAAAUCCCCGAGCUUAACUUGGGAACUGCAUUUGAAACUGGCAAGCUAGAGUCUUGUAGAGGGGGGUAGAAUUCCAGGUGUAGCGGUGAAAUGCGUAGAGAUCUGGAGGAAUACCGGUGGUGAAGGCGGCCCCCUGGACAAAGACUGACGCUCAGGUGCGAAAGCGUGGGGAGCAAACAGGAUUAGAUACCCCAGUAGUCCCUGUCUCUUAUAC
rnacentral:rRNA from 1 species